GGUUCCAUGGUGUAGUGGUUAGCACUCUGGACUUCGAAUCCAGCGACCUGGGUUCGACUGCCGGUGGGACCU
rfam:Ricinus communis cultivar Hale ctg_1100012352690, whole genome shotgun sequence.